CAGCCUCCCUCUGCAGCAUCCCCCCAGCUGCUAGUAUAUUGGGUAGCUGAGGAAGAGGGACCCUGCUGAAUGGAGGGAGGUCUGGAUUAGGUUGGCCUAGGGACCUGCCAUGCCUUCUUGGCCCCUCUUGGCUUCUGGAAGACCAGCAGCAGCUGUGGGUCCUGGGAGCCAAUCAAAGGCACAACUGUAGUGAGAGGGUCAAGAUGUUCCAGAACCUGGGUCACAUUCCCUCUCCAGGUUCAUCUCCUGUGACUCCCCUACCCGAAGCCACUUGCGGAGCCUCAGCUGGUCUCCUCACUCCUCCCCUCUAGUGUUAUUGAAGCCAUCGAUGAUCAGUUUAGUUUUACAGGAUGGCAGUAUCAUACAGAGGAAAGCCUAUGUGAGGGCAAAACAGAAGGUGCCACCUACAAGCCAAGAAGAGAAGCCUCACCAGAAACCAACCCUGAUAGUGCCUUGACCUUGGAAUUCCCGUCUACAGAACUACACCAUGGGAGAUGCAAAGAAAGAUGAAAAAAAGCUCACUGGAAUCAGAGAAAGCCAUCUAGGACAAGAGAAAGGAUAUGAAAAUAUCCUCAUGGUAGUCUCCAGAUCAGGGUCUCCAACUGGUCAACUCCAAAUCCCUCUUCUCCAUCAGAAGGAAAGUGUGUACAAGAAAGCCAACUGAGAAAGGAAGCAUGCCUGCCUGCUGAGUCGGUAAAUAACCAACUUUCUGAGAGCCGAAGUUCAUGCAAUCCCAAGAUAGGCCGUGACCAUCAGAACAGAGGCAGAGUCAAAGUCAAGGGGAACAGAAGGAACCAGGACAAGGAAUUUUGUGAGCUGUUUUACAUCAUGUCAGCAGCCUGAAAUCAGCCACAGUGGGAUUUUUUGCAUUGCGGUAAUGUGCAAAACCUACAAAGCUGAGCUUCAUUCCCCCUCCUGACUGGUUGCCAAACAUUUAUGGCCAUACUAUUGUUGCAGCCAUCCACACACUGAAGUGUUCAAGCAGGAGUGAAGGACCACUUGGCAGGAGACCUCAAGUUCAGCCUCUGGUGGCGUGGAAUGAAUAAGGAAUGAGCAUCAAGGAUCGUGGAUUAAGAAUGUGGCAGAGCUUUGAUGUUCUCCUCUGAAGCCUUUGUGCAGUGGAAUGAGGUGUGACCCUAUGGCUGAGGAACUGGAUAGGAGAGGAUCUGGAAGGCCCAGUAUUGCAAUGGAAAAGUCUGGAACUGAGGAGAGCAAGUGGAAGGAGGUUGGAGACCAAUAUGACAAGAGGAAGAGGAGGGUCUGAGGGUCCUUUCAGGAGAAGGCUGGGUGAAGCUCCCUCUGGGCUGCUGCUGUCCCUGAACCUUGGUCUCCUGGACAGGGAGAGAAGAAAAGGCAUUAAGUCAGCAAAGGCACAUAAACCUCCAUGGCAGAGAUGUCUCUGGAAGUGGCUUCCCGGGAAAUAAUGUUAAAUAAAUAAAUAAGAAUGUUCUUAAAAAUACUGAAGCUGUGGGAAAAGAGGUAUUUACAGAGUGGAAGGAGAGAGAGAGAGAGGGACUUUAAGGGCAAAAAUGCCACCAAGGAAGGAAGGAAAGAGAGAGGGAGGAAGAGAGGGAGUGGAUGAGCAAUUUAGUUGAGCCCGAGGCAGGGCGAGCCGCUAUGGCAAUGGCAGCAGCUAACAGGGUGACAAGUUGUGUAUGUUUUAUGUGCCCAUUAAUUCACUUACUCAGUAAAAAAUGCAUAGUUACCACCACCCAGACAUGCCACUGCAAGAAGAGGCCUGUUCAAGCCACCUGCUUGCGGCCUGUGGUCCCAGUGACAGCUCAGACUGGGCAAAAGUUUCCAACCUGAAAAGGAGAGAAUCUCGGCAGGUCCCAGAGGAAAUUAGACACCAGCAUUGCAAAAAGUUUCCAGUCGGUUCUGCCUCUCUGGGAUUCUUUUGUACAAUAUUAACUUCUCAAGGGAUACCAUCUUGGGUUCGGAAUAUGCAAUGUUCUUAGGAGGAAGGGAGAAUAGAAGGAGGAGGCGGGCUUGGUGGAGAAGAUGGGGAGAGAACAUGGAGACUUGGCUUUCCAGAGUUCAGGUGCCAGCUAGGUUCAGGUCGGCAAUCGAAACAGUUUGUGCAUGAGCUCAGUUUUGUGUGUAAGGUCAUUAAGAGAAACUUGGAUCCACAUCCCAGCGUGCGCUGCAUCGUCUCCUGCAGGAAGUUGACAUUAAUCCACUACCUGGAAUUGAAUAAGUACCUGCUGUGUGCUCUGAACUGUUCUGGACACUGUAUGCCAGAUACCAGAGAAGCAUGGAACCUGGUUUCUGGCCUCAGCCCUCUGGGAAGAGACAGAAGAGCAGCCAGAUGUUCUAGAAAAAUGACGUUGGAGGGCCUUGGGCUCUGGUUCUAGUUCUGUGACUUUUUAGCCAUGUGGCCGUGGAAAGUGACUUACCCUUCUCAGUGGGUCUCAGUUUUUUCUCCUUCUCACGUGUCUUCUUAUGCACCAGAAGCCUGUCUGGGAUUCUGCUCCACUCGGAGGUUGGAAAGAGCAGCGCGGCUGCUCUGGAAAUCUUGUUUCCCCUGCCACAUGACAUCAGUGGGUUAUAUUGCAACUUUCCACAUGGCUGCCCAGACACAGACAGUUGUGUUCAUGAAAAUCCUCCUGAUACUGGCUUGGAGCCUCCCUGGCACUCGAGGCUCCUUCUGAGGCUGUGCUGUGUUCUGCAGAGAAGCAGUUGACAGAGGGCUGGUGGAAGGUGCCUGGUCCUCAUUCUGAUCCAGUGCAUCUGCCCGCACCCUGUUCCCUCCAGGGGGCUUUGGGUGCCCAAGAUCAGGAUUUUCCAACAAUAGGAAAGGUGGGGUCAGAAUGCUGGUCAGGUUAUUUCUGCCUCUGAUCUGUGUAUAGCUUUGGAUAAGCCAUUUUAUCCUCCCAGUUCCCCAAACUGGGAAACUGAUCCCUGUCUCUCUCCAUCAAAGACGAGUAUAGGGACACAUUGGGGAGAGAGGAUCAGUAAACUUAAAAGACAUUUCAUCUCUCUGAGCUUUAGUUUUCCUUUCUAUAAAAUGAGGGACAAUGUUAGUUGCUUUCUACAGCCUCUCCAGUUCUGAUAAAUAAGUAAAUAAAUGAAGCCAUAGCUGUG